rfam:Oryza meridionalis cultivar OR44 (W2112) chromosome 7, whole genome shotgun sequence.
CAUACCAUGAGUUUUCGUAUCCAACUUUAAUCGUCCGUCUUAUUUAUAUUUUUUUAAAAAAAACUAAAAAAUAUAAGUUAUGCAUAAAGUACAAUACAUGUUUUAUAAUCUAAUAACAAUAAAAAUACUAAUCAUAAAAAAUUAAAAUAAGACGGACGAUCAAAUUUAGACACAUAAACUCAUGACGAAACUCAUG